CCUACGGGGAGCAGCAGUGAGGAAUAUUGGUCAAUGGCCGAGAGGCUGAACCAGCCAAGUCGCGUGAGGGAAGAAUGUCCUAAGGAUUGUAAACCUCUUUUGUCGGGGAGCAAAAAGGCUCUGCGGAGUCGUAUUGAGAGUACGCGAAGAAAAAGCAUAGGCUAACACGGGGCCAGCAGCCGCGGUAAUACGGAGGAUGCGAGCUUUACCUGGAUUUAUUGGGUUUAAAGGGUGCGCAGGGGGCGUGUCAAGCAAGCGGUAAAAUAGCGGGGUGCAGCCCCGUCGAGCAGUUUGAACUGGCGCGCUUGAGUUCAGGCGAGGUAGGCGGAAUUCGUGGUGUAGCGGUGAAAUGCAUAGAUAUCACGAAGAACUCCAAUUGCGAAGGCAGCUUACCAGUCUGCGACUGACGCUCAGGCACGAAAGUGUGGGUAUCGAACAGGAUUAGAUACCCCAGUAGUC
rnacentral:rRNA from 1 species